rnacentral:rRNA from 2 species
GGAUUUCUGGCAGGAGUGACUGACCACAAACUCUGUUUGUGAGUUGUGUCAUUCUGGCCAUCCUUGGUAAGAUCCUUUUUGGCAUUAAGUUGUCGGGAAGGGGAUGACCAUCGUUUACUGUGAAAAAAUUAGAGUGUUUAAAGCAGGCUUAUGCCGUUGAAUAUAUUAGCAUGGAAUAAUAAGAUAGGACUUUGAGUCUAUUUUGUUGGUUUGCGAGUCAAAGUAAUGAUUAAUAGGGACAGUUGGGGGUAUUCGUAUUUCAUUGUCAGAGGUGAAAUUCUUGGAUUUCUGAAAGACGAACUACUGCGAAAGC